UCCGUAGGUGAACCUGCGGAGGGAUCAUUACUGAGUGAGGGCCUUCGGGCUCGACCUCCAACCCUUUGUGAACACAACUUGUUGCUUCGGGGGCGACCCUGCCGUUUCGACGGCGAGCGCCCCCGGAGGCCUUCAAACACUGCAUCUUUGCGUCGGAGUUUAAGUAAAUUAAACAAAACUUUCAACAACGGAUCUCUUGGUUCUGGCAUCGAUGAAGAACGCAGCGAAAUGCGAUAAGUAAUGUGAAUUGCAGAAUUCAGUGAAUCAUCGAAUCUUUGAACGCACAUUGCGCCCCUUGGUAUUCCGAGGGGCAUGCCUGUUCGAGCGUCAUUUCACCACUCAAGCCUCGCUUGGUAUUGGGCGCCGCGGUGUUCCGCGCGCCUCAAAGUCUCCGGCUGAGCUGUCCGUCUCUAAGCGUUGUGAUUUCAUUAAUCGCUUCGGAGCGCGGGCGGUCGCGGCCGUUAAAUCUUUUACAAGGUUGACCUCGGAUCAGGUAGGGAUACCCGCUGAACUUAAGCAUAUCGAUAAGCGGAGGAAAAGAAACCAACAGGGAUUGCCCCAGUAACG
rnacentral:rRNA from 1 species